rnacentral:rRNA from 1 species
AAGAUUAAUACCGCAUAAGAUUGUAGUAUCGCAUGAUAUAGCAAUUAAAAGGAAGCAAUCCGCUAUAAGAUGGACCCGCGUCGCAUUAGCUAGUUGGUGAGGUAAUGGCUCACCAAGGCGACGAUGCGUAGCCGACCUGAGAGGGUGAUCGGCCACAUUGGGACUGAGACACGGCCCAGACUCCUACGGGAGGCAGCAUG